rnacentral:misc_RNA from 1 species
UUAAGUCUAGCGGGUCGUCUUGCCCCCGUGAGGUUAAGUCAAGGAAGGGCGGACCAUCCGAGGACGGAACGCGGUUCUGCUCUCAGCCAGAGGCGUUGAGCGUAAGUGCGAUAACGCAUUAGGAAGCGCCUUGAAGUGUACAACAAGGAGCGCAACUGUAGUGCGACGCGUAAUGCAUCUAAGGUAACGUGAUGGCGACA